AUUGAACGCUGGCGGCAUGCUUUACACAUGCAAGUCGAACGGCAGCGCGGGCUUCGGCCUGGCGGCGAGUGGCGAACGGGUGAGUAAUACAUCGGAACGUGCCCAGUAGUGGGGGAUAGCUCGGCGAAAGCCGGAUUAAUACCGCAUACGACCUGAGGGUGAAAGCGGGGGAUCUUCGGACCUCGCGCUCUUGGAGCGGCCGAUGGCAGAUUAGCUAGUUGGUGGGGUAAAGGCCUACCAAGGCGACGAUCUGUAGCUGGUCUGAGAGGACGACCAGCCACACUGGGACUGAGACACGGCCCAGACUCCUACGGGAGGCAGCAGUGGGGAAUUUUGGACAAUGGGCGAAAGCCUGAUCCAGCAAUGCCGCGUGUGUGAUGAAGGCCUUCGGGUUGUAAAGCACUUUUGGCGGGAACGAAAAGGACUGUGCCAAUACCACGGUGCGAUGACGGUACCCGCAGAAUAAGCACCGGCUAACUACGUG
rnacentral:rRNA from 1 species